AGAGUUUGAUCCUGGCUCAGAAUGAACGCUGGCGGCGUGCUUAACACAUGCAAGUCGAACGGUAACAGAAGAGCUUGCUCUUGCUGACGAGUGGCGCACGGGUGAGUAAUGCAUAGGUAACGUGCCCCUUAGUCUAGGAUAGCCACUGGAAACGGUGAUUAAUACUGGACACUCCUUCUCUUUUAAUAAGAGUUGGGAAAGUUUUUCGCUAAGGGAUCGGCCUAUGUUGUAUCAGGUAGUUGGUGAGGUAAUGGCUCACCAAGCCUAUGACACAUAGC
rnacentral:rRNA from 1 species